AACAACAAGGGAGCUCACUCAGUGGGUUUGAUGUGGUGGAUGCCGGCUCAGGAAGUUCUGUGCAUGAGUGGCACCAUUUCCUGUGAAUACUUGUGGGAGGUUAUGCCUGAUCUCUACUUCUACAGAGAUCCUGAAAGAAACCUAAAAAGAAAAGCAGGCUCCUGCUGAAAAGGCUGUGACCAAGGAGGACUUUUAGGAUGAAUGGACUGCUCCAGCUCCUGAGUUCACUGCUACUCAGCCUGAGGUUGCAGACUGGUCUGAAGGCAUGCAGGUGCCCUCUGUGCCUAUUCAGCAGUUCCCUACUGAAGACUGGAGGGCUCAGCCUGCCAUGGAAGACUGGCCUGCAGCUCCCACUGCUCAGGCCACUGAAUGAGUAGGAGCAACCACUGAAUG
rnacentral:lncRNA from 1 species